GGAGGAGCCCAGAGCCUGAAUCAGUGUGUGUGUUAGUGGAAGCGUCUGGAAAGGCGCGCGAUACAGGGUGACAGCCCCGUACACAAAAAUGCACAUGCUGUGAGCUCGAUGAGUAGGGCGGGACACGUGGUAUCCUGUCUGAAUAUGGGGGGACCAUCCUCCAAGGCUAAAUACUCCUGACUGACCGAUAGUGAACCAGUACCGUGAGGGAAAGGCGAAAAGAACCCCGGCGAGGGGAGUGAAAAAGAACCUGAAACCGUGUACGUACAAGCAGUGGGAGCACAGAGCAAUCUGUGUGACUGCGUACCUUUUGUAUAAUGGGUCAGCGACUUAUAUUCUGUAGCAAGGUUAACCGAAUAGGGGAGCCGAAGGGAAACCGAGUCUUAACUGGGCGUUAAGUUGCAGGGUAUAGACCCGAAACCCGGUGAUCUAGCCAUGGGCAGGUUGAAGGUUGGGUAACACUAACUGGAGGACCGAACCGACUAAUGUUGAAAAAUUAGCGGAUGACUUGUGGCUGGGGGUGAAAGGCCAAUCAAACCGGGAGAUAGCUGGUUCUCCCCGAAAGCUAUUUAGGUAGCGCCUCGUGAAUUCAUCUCCGGGGGUAGAGCACUGUUUCGGCAAGGGGGUCAUCCCGACUUACCAACCCGAUGCAAACUGCGAAUACCGGAGAAUGUUAUCACGGGAGACACACGGCGGGUGCUAACGUCCGUCGUGAAGAGGGAAACAACCCAGACCGCCAGCUAAGGUCCCAAAGUCAUGGUUAAGUGGGAAACGAUGUGGGAAGGCCCAGACAGCCAGGAUGUUGGCUUAGAAGCAGCCAUCAUUUAAAGAAAGCGUAAUAGCUCACUGGUCGAGUCGGCCUGCGCGGAAGAUGUAACGGGGCUAAACCAUGCACCGAAGCUGCGGCAGCGACACUGUGUGUUGUUGGGUAGGGGAGCGUUCUGUAAGCCUGUGAAGGUGUGCUGUGAGGCAUGCUGGAGGUAUCAGAAGUGCGAAUGCUGACAUAAGUAACGAUAAAGCGGGUGAAAAGCCCGCUCGCCGGAAGACCAAGGGUUCCUGUCCAACGUUAAUCGGGGCAGGGUGAGUCGACCCCUAAGGCGAGGCCGAAAGGCGUAGUCGAUGGGAAACAGGUUAAUAUUCCUGUACUUGGUGUUACUGCGAAGGGGGGACGGAGAAGGCUAUGUUGGCCGGGCGACGGUUGUCCCGGUUUAAGCGUGUAGGCUGGUUUUCCAGGCAAAUCCGGAAAAUCAAGGCUGAGGCGUGAUGACGAGGCACUACGGUGCUGAAGCAACAAAUGCCCUGCUUCCAGGAAAAGCCUCUAAGCAUCAGGUAACAUCAAAUCGUACCCCAAACCGACACAGGUGGUCAGGUAGAGAAUACCAAGGCGCUUGAGAGAACUCGGGUGAAGGAACUAGGCAAAAUGGUGCCGUAACUUCGGGAGAAGGCACGCUGAUAUGUAGGUGAAGUCCCUCGCGGAUGGAGCUGAAAUCAGUCGAAGAUACCAGCUGGCUGCAACUGUUUAUUAAAAACACAGCACUGUGCAAACACGAAAGUGGACGUAUACGGUGUGACGCCUGCCCGGUGCCGGAAGGUUAAUUGAUGGGGUCAGCGCAAGCGAAGCUCUUGAUCGAAGCCCCGGUAAACGGCGGCCGUAACUAUAACGGUCCUAAGGUAGCGAAAUUCCUUGUCGGGUAAGUUCCGACCUGCACGAAUGGCGUAAUGAUGGCCAGGCUGUCUCCACCCGAGACUCAGUGAAAUUGAACUCGCUGUGAAGAUGCAGUGUACCCGCGGCAAGACGGAAAGACCCCGUGAACCUUUACUAUAGCUUGACACUGAACAUUGAGCCUUGAUGUGUAGGAUAGGUGGGAGGCUUUGAAGUGUGGACGCCAGUCUGCAUGGAGCCGACCUUGAAAUACCACCCUUUAAUGUUUGAUGUUCUAACGUGGACCCGUGAUCCGGGUUGCGGACAGUGUCUGGUGGGUAGUUUGACUGGGGCGGUCUCCUCCUAAAGAGUAACGGAGGAGCACGAAGGUUGGCUAAUCCUGGUCGGACAUCAGGAGGUUAGUGCAAUGGCAUAAGCCAGCUUGACUGCGAGCGUGACGGCGCGAGCAGGUGCGAAAGCAGGUCAUAGUGAUCCGGUGGUUCUGAAUGGAAGGGCCAUCGCUCAACGGAUAAAAGGUACUCCGGGGAUAACAGGCUGAUACCGCCCAAGAGUUCAUAUCGACGGCGGUGUUUGGCACCUCGAUGUCGGCUCAUCACAUCCUGGGGCUGAAGUAGGUCCCAAGGGUAUGGCUGUUCGCCAUUUAAAGUGGUACGCGAGCUGGGUUUAGAACGUCGUGAGACAGUUCGGUCCCUAUCUGCCGUGGGCGCUGGAGAACUGAGGGGGGCUGCUCCUAGUACGAGAGGACCGGAGUGGACGCAUCACUGGUGUUCGGGUUGUCAUGCCAAUGGCACUGCCCGGUAGCUAAAUGCGGAAGAGAUAAGUGCUGAAAGCAUCUAAGCACGAAACUUGCCCCGAGAUGAGUUCUCCCUGACCCUUUAAGGGUCCUGAAGGAACGUUGAAGACGACGACGUUGAUAGGCCGGGUGUGUAAGCGCAGCGAUGCGUUGAGCUAACCGGUACUAAUGAACCGUGAGGCUUAACCUU
rnacentral:rRNA from 1 species